GAUGAACGCUGGCGGCGUGCCUAAUACAUGCAAGUCGAGCGAACAGACGAGGAGCUUGCUCCUCUGACGUUAGCGGCGGACGGGUGAGUAACACGUGUAUAACCUACCUAUAAUACUGGUAUAACUUCGGGAAACCGGAGCUAAUACCGUAUAAUAUAUUGAACCGCAUGGUUCAAUAGUGAAAGACGGUUUUGCUGUCACUUAUAGAUGGAUCCGCGCCGCAUUAGCUAGUUGGUAAGGUAACGGCUUACCAAGGCAACGAUGCGUAGCCGACCUGAGAGGGUGAUCGGCCACCCUGGAACUGAGACAGGGUCCAGACUCCUACGGGAGGCAGCAGUAGGGAAUCUUACGCAAUGGGCGAAAGCCUGACGGAGCAACGCCGCGUGAGUGAUGAAGGUCUUCGGAUCGUAAAACUCUGUUAUUAGGGAAGAACAAAUGUGUAAGUAACUAUGCACGUAUUGACGGUACCUAAUCAGAAAGCCACGGCUAACUACGUG
rnacentral:rRNA from 1 species